rnacentral:rRNA from 1 species
UACGUAGGGAGCAAGCGUUGUCCGGAAUCAUUGGGCGUAAAGCGCGCGUAGGUGGUCCUAUAAGUCCGCUGUGAAAGUCAAAGGCUCAACCUUUGAAAGCCGGUGGAUACUGUGGGACUAGAGUACGGAAGAGGCGAGUGGAAUUCCUGGUGUAGCGGUGGAAUGCGCAGAUAUCAGGAGGAACACCAAUAGCGAAGGCAGCUCGCUGGGACGUUACUGACACUGAGGCGCGAAAGCGUGGGGAGCGAACAGG